rnacentral:pre_miRNA from 14 species
AAACCAUUCCAAUUGAAACCUUCGGACCAUUGUGAAUUUUUGCUGCGGUGUUACAACUAACAUCUGUAUCACCGGGUGAAAAUUCGCAAUGGUCCGAUGGGUAUUCAUGUGGAGCCUGGA